rnacentral:rRNA from 1 species
GAUGAACGCUGGCGGCGUGCCUAAUACAUGCAAGUCGAGCGAACAGACGAGGAGCUUGCUCCUUUGACGUUAGCGGCGGACGGGUGAGUAACACGUGGAUAACCUACCUAUAAGACUGGGAUAACUUCGGGAAACCGGAGCUAAUACCGGAUAACAUGUUGAACCGCAUGGUUCAACAGUGAAAGACGGUCUUGCUGUCACUUAUAGAUGGAUCCGCGCCGCAUUAGCUAGUUGGUAAGGUAACGGCUUACCAAGGCAACGAUGCGUAGCCGACCUGAGAGGGUGGUCGGCCACACUGGAACUGAGACACGGUCCAGACUCCUACGGGAGGCAGCAGUAGGGAAUCUUCCGCAAUGGGCGAAAGCCUGACGGAGCAACGCCGCGUGAGUGAAGAAGGUCCUCGGAUCGUAAAACUCUGUUAUUAGGGAAGAACAAAUGUGUAAGUAACUAUGCACGUCUCGACGGUACCUAAUCAGAAAGCCACGGCUAACUACGUG